rnacentral:rRNA from 1 species
GAUGAACGCUGGCGGCGUGCCUAAUACAUGCAAGUCGAGCGAACGGACGAGAAGCUUGCUUCUCUGAUGUUAGCGGCGGACGGGUGAGUAACACGUGGAUAACCUACCUAUAAGACUGGGAUAACUUCGGGAAACCGUAGCUAAUACCGGAAAAUAUUUUGAACCGCAUGGUUCAAAAGUGAAAGACGGUCUUGCUGUCACUUAUAGAUGGAUCCGCGCUGCAUUAGCUAGUUGGUAAGGUAACGGCUUACCAAGGCAACGAUGCAUAGCCGACCUGAGAGGGUGAUCGGCCACACUGGAACUGAGACACGGUCCAGACUCCUACGGGAGGCAGCAGUAGGGAAUCUUCCGCAAUGGGCGAAAGCCUGACGGAGCAACGCCGCGUGAGUGAUGAAGGUCUUCGGAUCGUAAAACUCUGUUAUUAGGGAAGAACAUAUGUGUAAGUAACUGUGCACAUCUUGACGGUACCUAAUCAGAAAGCCACGGCUAACUACGUG